rnacentral:rRNA from 1 species
UCGCCUGCGGCAUAACCAUGCAGUCGAGCGCCCGCAAGGGGGGAGCGGCAGACGGGUGAGUAACGCGUGGGAAUCUACCCAUCUCUACGGAACAACUCCGGGAAACUGGAGCUAAUACCGUAUACGUCCUUUUGGAGAAAGAUUUAUCGGAGAUGGAUGAGCCCGCGUUGGAUUAGCUAGUUGGUGGGGUAAUGGCCUACCAAGGCGACGAUCCAUAGCUGGUCUGAGAGGAUGAUCAGCCACACUGGGACUGAGACACGGCCCAGACUCCUACGGGAGGCAGCAGUGGGGAAUAUUGGACAAUGGGCGAAAGCCUGAUCCAGCCAUGCCGCGUGAGUGAUGAAGGCCCUAGGGUUGUAAAGCUCUUUCAACGGUGAAGAUAAUGACGGUAACCGUAGAAGAAGCCCCGGCUAACUUCGUGCCAGCAGCCGCGGUAAUACGAAGGGGGCUAGCGUUGUUCGGAAUUACUGGGCGUAAAGCGCACGUAGGCGGAUACUUAAGUCAGGGGUGAAAUCCCGGGGCUCAACCCCGGAACUGCCUUUGAUACUGGGUAUCUCGAGUCCGGAAGAGGUGAGUGGAAUUCCGAGUGUAGAGGUGAAAUUCGUAGAUAUUCGGAGGAACACCAGUGGCGAAGGCGGCUCACUGGUCCGGUACUGACGCUGAGGUGCGAAAGCGUGGGGGAGCAAACAGGAUUAGAUACCCUGGUAGGUCCACGCCGUAAACGAUGGGAAGCUAGCCCGUUGGGCAGGUUUACUUGGUCGGUGGCGCAGCUAACGCAUUAAGCUUUCCCGCCUGGGGGAGUACGGUCGCAAGAUUAAAACUCAAAAGGAAUUGACGGGGGCCCGCACAAGCGGUGGGAGCAUGUGGUUUAAAUUCGAGCAACGCGCAGAACCUUUACCAGCCCUUGACAUCCCGGUCGCGGGUUACCAAGAAAUGGUUUUCCUUUCAGUUCGGCUUGAACGGUUGACAGGUGCUGCAUGGCUUGUCGUCAGCUUCGUGUUCGUGAAGAUGUUGGGUAAGUCCCCGCAACAAGUGCAACCCUCCGCUCUAGUUGCCCAUCUAAUAAUUGUGGGCACUUCCUAAGGGGGACUGCCGGGUGUACAGCCCAUAGAGAAGGUUGGGGAUUAGCCUUCAAGUCUCUCAUGGGCCCUUUACGGGGCGUGGGGCCUACACAACGGUGGUAUCAAUUGGUGUGUACAAUGGUGCAGGCGAAAGACCCCGAGCUCGGCCUAUACUCUCCCAAAGACCAUUCCAGGUCGAAUUGAACCCUCUGCACACUUGAAGUUCGCUAUGAAAGUGAGGAACAUCCGCCAUGAAAGUAAUGAUCGAUUGA